UACGUAGGGGGCAAGCGUUGUCCGGAUUUAUUGGGCGUAAAGAGCGUGUAGGCGGCCUGAAAGGUCAGCUGUGAAAACUCGAGGCUCAACCUCGAGACGCCGGUGGAAACCGUAAAGCUAGAGUCCGGAAGAGGAGAGUGGAAUUCCUGGUGUAGCGGUGAAAUGCGCAGAUAUCAGGAGGAACACCCGUGGCGAAAGCGGCUCUCUGGGACGGUACUGACGCUGAGACGCGAAAGCGUGGGGAGCAAACAGG
rnacentral:rRNA from 1 species